CUGCCAUGUGACCUGGCUGAUAUACUAUCUGCCAUCUGACCUGGCUGGUAUACUAUCUACCAUGUGACCUGGCUGGUAUACUAUCUGCCAUGUGACCUGGCAGGUAUACUAUCUACCAUGUGACCUGGCUGGUAUACUAUCUACCAUGUGACCUGGCAGGUAUAAAAUCUACCAUGUUACCUGGCAGGUAUACUAUCUACCAUGUGACCUGGCUGGUAUAUCAUCUACCAUGUGACCUGGCUGAUAUACUAUCUACCAUGUGACCUGGCUGGUAUACUAUCUACCAUGUGACCUGGCUGGUAUACUAUCUACCAUGUGACCUGGCAGGUAUUUUAUCUACCAUGUAACAUUGCUGGUAUAUUAUCUACCAUGUGACCUGGCAGGUACACUAUCUACCAUGUCACACACACCCCCACACGCACACACUCACACACGCAUGCUCGCACACACAUACACACACCCACCUCCGCACCCACACACACACACACACACACACACACACACACACACACACACACACACACACACACACACACACACCCACAUACGGACACACACACACACCCACAUACGCACACACACACCCACACAUGCACACACGCACACGCAGGCAAGCACUCACAGAUCAACAUGUGCUUUCUAUUGCUGUGGAAGAGAGCCUGCUCUCCACAGGCCAAUGGAUCUUUGUAAGUGUGUGUGUGUGUGUGUGUGUGUGUGUGUGUGUGUGUGUGUGUGUGUGUGUGUGUGUGUGUGUGUGUGUGUGUGUGUGUGUGUGUGUGUGUAUACAUUAACUCCGAAGGCGACUAGGGUCGAAAUGAAUCACAUUAAGGGGAGAUGGGACGGCUAGGAUGGAUGACCUCCAUACACACACAGCAGAGUCCAGCCCCCUGAUCAAAUCAACUGCCAGACCAGUCAUUACUUCACCACGUGACUCUGUGAGCUAUAAGAACAC
rnacentral:lncRNA from 1 species